rnacentral:sRNA from 1 species
CCAGCCAAGCCUGAAGCCCCAAAGAAGCAGCGCUCCCCAGCCCCACCGGAAGAGCUGGUGACCCCAGGCUCCACCGGCCCGAAGUCAGACCUCACUGGAGAGCAGCAGUCCAAGUCACCAGUCCCUGGUGUGAAGCAGGAGGCGAAAACAGAAGAACAGAUUGCAGCAGAAGAGGCCUGGAAUGAGACGGAGAAGGUGUGGCUGGUCCAUAGGGACGGCUUCUCACUGGCCAGUCAACUCAAAUCUGAGGAGCUCAACUUGCCUGAGGGGAAGGUGCGUGUGAAGCUGGACCACGAUGGGGCCAUCCUGGAUGUGGAUGAGGAUGAUGUUGAGA